rnacentral:rRNA from 1 species
CCUACGGGGGGCAGCAGUGAGGAAUAUUGGGCAAUGGGCGCAAGCCUGACCCAGCAACGCCGCGUGAAGGAAGAAGGCUUUCGGGUUGUAAACUUCUUUUGACAGGGAAGAGUAGAAGACGGUACCUGUCGAAUAAGCCACGGCUAACUACGUGCCAGCAGCCGCGGUAAUACGUAGGUGGCAAGCGUUGUCCGGAUUUACUGGGUGUAAAGGGCGUGUAGCCGGGUUGACAAGUCAGAUGUGAAAUCCUGCGGCUUAACCGCAGAACUGCAUUUGAAACUGUUGAUCUUGAGUACUGGAGAGGCAGGCGGAAUUCCUGGUGUAGCGGUGAAAUGCGUAGAUAUUAGGAGGAACACCAGUGGCGAAGGCAGUCUGCUGGACAGCAACUGACGGUGAGGCGCGAAAGCGUGGGGAGCAAACAGGAUUAGAUACCCUUGUAGUC